UACAGAGGGUGCAAGCGUUGUUCGGAAUUAUUGGGCGUAAAGCGCGUGUAGGCGGCUUUGCAAGUCGGGUGUGAAAGCCCUCGGCUCAACCGAGGAAGUGCGCCCGAAACUGCAGAGCUUGAGUACCGGAGAGGAUGGCGGAAUUCCCCAAGUAGAGGUGAAAUUCGUUGAUAUGGGGAGGAACACCGGUGGCGAAGGCGGCCAUCUGGACGGAUACUGACGCUGAGACGCGAAAAGCGUGGGUAGCAAACGAGG
rnacentral:rRNA from 1 species